AUUCUAAAACAAUGCUUGAACAAGUAAUUUUGGAUCCGUAAUAUAGCCCAAAUCACAAAAAUACCCGAAAAAGUACUUAAAGGUCAAAAUUUGGGGUCGACAAAAAGUCAAUGAAAAAGUUCCUUUGUCCUGCUUCUUUCGUCGGAGGGCUCUCUUUGGGCUAUUCGAAAAGGUAUCACAUGCCAAGUUUGGCCUCACGGUAUAAAAGUUAUAGAGUCCUAAAGUUUUAACCAAAAAAAACAAAUUAAAAAAAAAGAGGGAUGCAACACGAGGACUUCCCGGGAGGUCACCCAUCCUAGUACUACUCUCGCCCAAGCACGCUUAACUAAAUGUCAAAAUUUGGAGUCGACAAAAAAUCAAUUGAUAUGUUCCAUUGUCCUGCUACUUUCAUCGGAGGGCUCUCUUUGGGCUUUCCGAAAAUGUAUCACAUGCCAAGUUUGGCCUCACUGUAUAAAAGUUAUACAGUCAUAAAGUUUUAACCAAAGAAAAAUAUUUAAAAAAAACGGAUGCAACACGAGGACUUCCCUGAGGUCACCAAUCCUAGUACUACUCUCGCCCAAGCACGCUUAACUACGGAGUUUUGAUGGGAUCUGGUGUAUUAGUGCUGGUAUAAUCUCAUCCGUUAGUAUAGGCAAUGCAAUGGUGUAUAUUCUUUUUUGAAGACUUGAUGAACCAUUCGUCGUGGGUCCCACCCGCUGUGUAGGGAUACCCCAUCUAGUCUUAACGAGCUUUGAUCAUGAAAAAAAUUCUAAAACAAUGCUUGAACAAGUAAUUUUGGGUCCGUAAUAUAGCCCAAAUCCCAAAAUACCCGAAAAAGUACUUAAAGGUCAAAAUUUGGGAUCGACAAAAAGUCAAUGGAAAAGUUCGUUUGUCCUGCUUCUUUCGUCGGAGGGCUCUCUUUGGGCUUUCCGAAAAGGUAUCACAUGCCAAGUUUGGCCUCACGGUAUAAAAGUUAUAGAAUCAUAAAGUUUUAACCAAAAAAAACAAAUUAAAAAAAAAGAGGGAUGCAACACGAGGACUUCCCGGGAGGUCACCCAUCCUAGUACUACUCUCGCCCAAGCACGCUUAACUAAAGGUUAAAAUUUGGAGUCGACAAAAAAUCAAUGGAUAUGUUCCAUUGUCCUGCUUCUUUCAUCGGAGAGCUCUCUUUGGGCUUUCCGAAAAGGUAUCACAUGCCAAGUUUGGCCUCACUGUAUAAAAGUUAUAGAGUCAUAAAGUUUUAACCAAUGAAAAAAAUUAAAAAAAAAGAGGGAUGCAACACGAGGACUUCCCGGGAGGUCACCCAUCCUAGUACUACUCUCGCCCAAGCCCCCUUAACUGCGGAGUUCUGAUGGGAUCCGGUGUAUUAGUGUUGGUAUGAUCUUAUCUGUUAGUAUAUGCAAUGCAAUCGUAUAUAUUCUUUUUGGAAGAAUUGAUGAACCAUUCGCCGUGGGUCCCACCCGCUGUGUAGGGAUACCCCAACUAGUCUUAACGAGCUUUGAUGCAUGAAAAAAUUCUAAAACAAUGCUUGAACAAGUUAUUUUGGGUCCGUAAUCUAGCCCAAAUCACAAAAAUGCCCGAAAAAGUACUUAAAGGUCAAAAUUUGUGGUCGGCAAAAAGUCAAAGGAAAAGUUCGUUUGUCCUGUUUCUUUCGUCGGAGGGUUCUCUUUGGGAUUUCCGAAAAGGUAUCACAUGCCUAGUUUGGCCUCACGGUAUAAAAGUUAUAGAGUCAUAAAGUUUUAACCAAAAAAAACAAAUUAAAAAAAAAGAGGGAUGCAACACGAGGACUUCCCGGGAGGUCACCCAUCCUAGUACAAUAUUCGCCCAAGCACGCUUAACUGCGGAGUUCUGAUGGGAUCUC
rnacentral:sRNA from 1 species